CGGGCGUUAGUCUAAACAAGAUGGUUAAUUUCGACUUAACAGAUUUGGAUACUACACCAAGCGCCC
rnacentral:tRNA from 1 species